AAAAAAGCUUUGACGAGAAAGAGUAAGGUUAAUGUAAUCUUUACAGAGAGUACCCGGUUGGUGAGAGGGGCAAAAGAUAAUUUAGCUUGAAUACAUCUCUGAGCUGCACUCCGAAAGAUAACAACUAGUAGGCAGUUGCCGGAUUUUGCACACGUUAUAGUGCUAGAGUAUCCCAAUAAGUUGGCGUACUUGAAGAGGUCAUUAUUGCGAAAUAAUGAUGAAUUAAGGUGGUAACACGUGAGUAAUACUCUCGUCCUUUUU
rnacentral:ncRNA from 1 species